rnacentral:lncRNA from 1 species
GUUUUAAUUUGAUACUUUUAAAGAAACAUAGCCACAUGAAUGGAAUCAUACAAUCCUAUAAUCCAUGAAUUUCAAAUGUCUCCUAGUUUUUUUUUAAUUAAAAUAUUCAAUUCUGAAAUUCAAGGCAAGACUUUAUUCUUAGUUGGUGUAAUGGAUGGGAAACCAGACGGCACUUACUUAAAUGUAUGUUGACUAUGGUCUCCAAAUUUUUUGUUCUUCUACUAGAAUAAAAAUAUAAUGACUUUUCUUGGGACAGAAUUGUAUUAUAUACAUUGUCAACACUGUCGACAAAGACACUUCUAAAUAGAACAGACUGACAAUAUCUUUCUAAUAGAUGAUUUCCAAACCCCUCUUACUAUUGGAUACAAAUCAGUUCAGAUUGUUUAGGUUCACAAGGAAUAAGGCCACAGUUCACCUCUACCUCAUAAUUUUCAUUAAUAAACUGCAUAUGGAAAGUCAAAAAUGAGAUACAUUAUUUUGAGAAAUUGCCCUAAAUGUAUUUCAUUCCUUUACAAAUUCAUGUUAUUUACAAUAACUUUGUAUGACUAUAUUCAUUUUAUUUAAUCCUGUCCAUACUUAAAUAUAUGCAUAAACUUUAUAUGCAAGAUAAAGGACAUAAAACAACACAUAUGAUUGGAAAAGGUCAAAGAUAAAUAUAAUUUCUGAUGACCUUUGCUUUUCUUUGGAAAGUGUUGGGAUCUGAUACCAAGCACAGUGGGAUGUAAAAACAUUACUUGGACUUUCUAGGAUCGUUAAAGGUUGCAGGCUUUUACUGAUAGAAGACAUUAAAAACAAUGAAAGUGUACCUGAAAAUUCAAAUCAAAUGAAAGGUGAGAAGCUAUUUUCAUCUUUAAGUAUCCUAAAUAAGAGGUAAGGAGAAAGCAGUAAUGAUCCACUCGUAAAAACCUAUUCAUUCUGGAAUUAUAAAUAGGGUCCAAGUAGAGUUUUCAUUUCUUAAGCAUGUAAAUUAACUACAGCAAUCUUUUGAGCACACAAAUUAGGUUUUUAAAACCAGAGUUUCUCAAUGAAUAAAAGAUAAUAAUUUAGUCACUUGUUUCCUUUACCCUAAUAAAAGUGGAAUGAGGUUUUUCUUUGAAUUGUAUUUUAUUUUUCCUUCAGUUAAUUUUAUGUGGGUUAAAAUUACUGCUACCUCCACUGAGAAUGUCACCAGCAACACACAAGUCUCUGUUAAAGUAAUUUUCAAGCAAUAAAACAGCAUGUAAAAUUUGGUUUAUUUUUCUUUGAAUUGUUGAAGGACUCAGUCAUUUUUUAAUUAGUAAAUUUUCAAAAGUUAAUAUAGCAUUAUUUUAGUUUCAGUAUUUAGUACUUUUUUCCUUUUUUUGGCCAACCCAUAGCACACAGAAGUUCCUGGGCCAGAGCAUAAACAUGUGCCAUAGCAGCAACCCAAGCCACUGCAAUGACAACGCCAGAUCUUUAACCCACUGAGCCUCAAGAGAACGUCAGAAUUUAGGCCCAUGUAGUAACACUACUACUAAUUGAAAGGUUAACACUCUAAUUGGUGUGGCUAUUUAGGUAUAAGGUACCAAAUGCAUAUUUCAAACAAGGUUCCAGGGUUAAAGAACAAAAGGGAAAAUCUGAUCAUUCAGAAUUAAGAGGGUAGCAUCCUCAAUUUUGAUUGAAUUCCAGAUACUUUUAUUUUCCUACCUAACCAUAGUGGUCACACUAUGAUAUAUUAAUUUUUUUAUAUAUAAAUCUCUUGACUUCAAGGAAACAAGAGUAAUUUCAAAGAAUCAAGGUAAGCAGCAAGGAGUAAUAAAACUCAAAUCCUUGACUUGGAGUUAAAUUUCAUGGUGGGACUCAGAAAACAAAGGGAAAUAAAAUUGUAAUCGUAUUUUUAUGACUAUUGGUCAGUAGAGACCAGCUAUAGGAACUUUGCCAACAACAGGGUUUUCUCCUCUCAAUUUCAUAGAUCUCUCUUGAUGUGUAACUUUUCCUCAAAAUAAAAGUGGCAGUUUUUGAUAUGAUGUAGUAAUAUACUUAGAAAACAAUAAGAAGAAGCAAUGCUAUGAAUCUAACAUUUGUCCAGAAUAAUAUGAAACUGAAAACACAGAUACUCCCCUCUACUGAAGACUUUUUGAUUCCUGCUUUUUUAACACUGGGAAAGGAAACACCGAAGAGUUCUAAAAAGUUACACAUAUUUCCAGAGAUGAUUAGGAGUCUGUUUUUAGACUCUCUUGUUUUAAAUGAGAACAUGGCAUUUGGAUGUGCCUCAGCAAAUAAGGCAAAGUAAAAGUUUACCACAGUUUUGUAAAAUUACUAGUUUUACUUUAUUUUUACAUUUUUAAAUUAUUGGCACCAGAAGUUCCUGGGCCUGGGAUGGAACAUGCACCACAGAAGAAGACAGAGCCACAGCAGUGACAAUGCUGGAUCCUUAACCUGCUGAGCCACCAGGGUACUCAUAGUUUUAAAAACAGCAUUAUCACUAAAUUUCCAACUAAAUGACAUAUGUAUAGUUUUAUACAAACCAUACAAUACAGCAAUACCCAACUUAGCUGGAAAUGCUCCAUAUAAGUCAACUUUGAACACUACUGACACUCUUCAAGGAACAAACCUGUAGAAAAAUAUAGCUAUUCUAACCAAAAUAUUUGUCCUGUGAAUUACAUGAUUUGCUAUAUCAGUAAGACACAUAAAAAACAAUCUAUCUGGCUCCCACCUACUUCUCCAAUUUCAUCUUGAACCAUUUAUUUCUAUCACUUUAAAUUCUAAUCACCUUGGACUUCUCUCAAAUUCUACAGACAAGCUAAUCCUCUUUGAAGAUGUCAGCCUCCUUGCUUUGCAAAUUCCCUGCAUCUCUGAAUACACCUCAACACUCCCACUCAUGCCCAAUGUGCGUGUGUAUGCCCAUGCAUGGGCAGGCGCAUGCAUGGGCACACACACAAACAUCUGAGUCUGGCCAACGUACUUCUACUUUUGAUAUUAUUAGCUUAUAUGUUUCUCAAGAAAGCAUUCUCUGGACCUCUCUACCAAUUUAGUCUAGAGCCUUUCAUCAUGCAUCCUUGAAA